AAGUCGUAACAAGGUUUCCGUAGGUGAACCUGCGGAAGGAUCAUUAAUACGCUUUUGUUUGUAACAAAACAAAACGUUUUAAACUCCAAAAGAAAUAGUGGAAAUAUAACUUCCGGAUGCGAAUGUUGGGAACUGAGUAAAAUCGGUUCUUUGAAAAAGGGACUUCAAGCAAUUGACACUUCAGAGUAGAGCAGUGAGGUGAAAUUCUCUUUUCCAAGAGAGUUUGGUUCUGAAAAACAUUUGUAUCCGGUUAUCAUAAUCUGUUCUACAAACUCCAAAAUAUCAAACAAUAAACCCCAUGUACAACAACUUGAACUAAACAUUUUUUUGUUAUUCUUCUUGCACUUGUGUGAGGAGCUACAAAGAAAAAACCUGAACUUAAGAACAACUCUUAACAACGGAUAUCUUGGUUCUC
rnacentral:misc_RNA from 1 species